rnacentral:rRNA from 1 species
AGUGAACGCUGGCGGUAGGCCUAACACAUGCAAGUCGAACGGCAGCACAGUAAGAGCUUGCUCUUACGGGUGGCGAGUGGCGGACGGGUGAGGAAUACAUCGGAAUCUACUUUUUCGUGGGGGAUAACGUAGGGAAACUUACGCUAAUACCGCAUACGACCUACGGGUGAAAGCAGGGGAUCUUCGGACCUUGCGCGAUUCAAUGAGCCGAUGUCGGAUUAGCUAGUUGGCGGGGUAAAGGCCCACCAAGGCGACGAUCCGUAGCUGGUCUGAGAGGAUGAGCAGCCACACUGGAACUGAGACAAGGUCCAGACUCCUACGGGAGGCAGCAGUGGGGAAUAUUGGACAAUGGGCGCAAGCCUGAUCCAGCCAUACCGCGUGUGUGAAGAAGGCCUUCGGGUUGUAAAGCCCUUUUGUUGGGAAAGAAAAGCAGCAGGUUAAUACCCCGCUGUUCUGACGGUACCCAAAGAAUAAGCACCGGCUAACUUCGUG